rnacentral:misc_RNA from 1 species
CAUGAGUUGUCUUGGACCCGUGUCUGCUGGUAGGACCCCCGGCCCGUUGUGCGGCUGAGUGCUAGCGCCUGUGUCCCAUCAUUGCUGCGGCUGUUACCUGUCUGCUCUACUGACAAGUGCUUGCAUGAUGCUACCCGACCUACGGGAAGUGGUGCUUCAUACAUGGUUGCCUCGCGGCGGACGCCCCAAGGCGUUCUGUUGCGGCCCAAUAGUGCUUGCGGCGUUGCCUCACGGUGCUGUCACCCUACGUGGCCAGUGUCGUCAAGGCCACCUUGCUUGCACUCUUGGUCUCGGAUGUUGCUCACGAUAAAGGCUCGUGUCCCAUCGGCGUCGUGUUGGUGCCGAGAGCCUCCUCAAUACUCAACAAAUGGCCCCCUCGUUAUCAAUAACCAAAC